rnacentral:rRNA from 1 species
AACGAACGCUGGCGGCAGGCCUCAAACAUGCAAGUCUAGGGGGUGCAGCAAUGCAUCACCGGCGGACGGGUGCGUAACGCGUGGGAAUAUACCUUUUGGUUCGGAACAACUGCGGGAAACUGCAGCUAAUACCGAAUGUGCCCUAACGGGGAAAGAUUUAUCGCCAAAGGAUUAGCCCGCGUAGGAUUAGCUAGUUGGUGAGGUAAUGGCUCACCAAGGCUCCGAUCCUUAGCNGUUCUGAGAGGAAGAUCAGCCACACUGGGACUGAGACACGGCCCAGACUCCUACGGGAGGCAGCAGUUGGGAAUCUUGGACAAUGGGGAACCCUGAUCCAGCCAUGCCGCGUGAGUGAUGAAGGCCUU